rnacentral:rRNA from 1 species
UAGGGAAUCUUCCACAAUGGGCGAAAGCCUGAUGGAGCAACGCCGCGUGUGUGAUGAAGGGUUUCGGAUCGUAAAACUCUGUUGUUAGAGAAGAACAUGCAGGAGAGUAACUGUUCUUGUAUUGACGGUAUCUAACCAGAAAGCCACGGCUAACUACGUGCCAG